GACAGAGGAUAGUGCUUGAAAAGUUAUUUUUAAAAGCAAUUCGAUAUUUUGAACAAUUUUUUUAAAGUACAAUGGCUGCUAUAAAGAGUAGGAUGGAAUGGUGUAUAGGAACUGUUGAGUUACAGCCUGAUCCAUGGAUUGAGCACCUGAGGAAAGGACCUGGUCAGCCCUGAGAGCGCAGGUGAAAGCAAUUCAUCUGUGUGAUCAGAAGGGGUGGAGCCUGGCUACACCUCUCUUAGACCUCAUUUAAGGACUGUCUGCUACUAGGGAAGGAUCUCUGGUUGGAGAUCUCUUGUGAAGUUUUCCUUGCGAGCCUGCUUUUUUGGAGAUGGAACAUAACGGGCCGUUGCACCGCUUUACCAUAUGUCUAUAUCUCUACCUGGAUCUCAGCAGUAAUUCUCUCUCAGAUCCCCAGCAAUGUACCCGUGAGGACAGGAAGAGCUCUCCACAUUAUCUUUAGAAAUUAGAGGAACAAUCAAGAAAGAAAUGAAGACCUUAAUUUUAUCCAGACAAAACAGUUAUGGAAAUAUGAAGUGGAAAAUAGCUGAAUGCGUGGCAGUUAUUCAGAAAAAGUGAUGGAAUAUUCCAGUUGUUCGCAAGAGGAGUAGGGCUUGGGAUCAAAACUGUACUUCCAGUUUCAGAGAGACCAAUAAGAAUGAUCAAUUAUCUUAAAAUACUAUCUGUGAGGCAAGCUUGCAAGAAGUAGAUUUUUUGAAGUCAAGAGAAACUUGCAUUUCUGUGGUAGGCUUCAUAGAAACCUUCGGAAGAUGAAAGGGUCUGUGCUCAUGAUGGAUAAACUUGAAGUUUGAAAGACUCAGGAUAAAUGUGAAAAGCAAUCUGCUUUGUCAGAACAAGAAAGCCUUGGAGCAGAACAUCUGAAAAGGUAUCUUAAGGGCAGGAUAGACAACAUUUGAUAAAACUGAUAUGGAAGAAGUCGCUCUGUUGCAGGACAGAAAGGUGGAACUGAUACUUCUAUUCUUCUCUGAAACUUUUUAUUGUCGUUGACCUCCACUCUUUUUUCUUUCAACAUGACAUUUCCAUGACAAUGUGUCAUGUAGCGUUUGGAACAAGAGUGUGUCAACUUCCAUUGCUAGUUCCAAAGCAGACAUCUUUUUGUCUCUGCCCACUUUUCCAUGUCUUAUUUUCCUGUUCUGGUUGCUGGCUUGCUAUCUGUAGCAUUCUGAAGUGGAACAGAAUGCAGAGAAUUAGAAGCUUUUUUAAGAGUAGGGAUGGGAAUUUUAUUUCCUGUAAACUGCAAAACAAAUUUGAGUUGAAGUAAUAAACUAGUAUAUAUACAGAUACAUUUAUAAAAAUGUAUUAAAGUAUUCCAGUGGCAAGUAUUUUAAUUGUGUUUUUGAACUGACAGAGUGGAUUUGGAAUUAAAAUGAGUUAUUUAACAA